ACUUGAAUUCAUUUUGUCAUGUUCAUUUGGUGCUCGCAAUAUGGCGUCUAUUGAAAAACUUCGAUCACCAUAGGCCAAAUCCUUUUUGGCCCUUCUACGGUAUUUAUCACAAUGAUUUUAGGAUCUAAUAUUAGUACCGAGCAGAAGAAUAAUUUAUAAGCAAAUGUACCAUUUUUUGAGUUUACUGAAUGGCUCGACGAAACCAACCUUCAACAAUUUAUUUGCAUGACCCAUUGUGGAGUCCAAAAGGCAAAACCUCUAAAUUGUUUUCCAGCACAUCAAUCUUCUGAAAGUGGAUCAACAAAAUCAC